UGGGGAAUAUUGCGGCAAUGGGGGGAAACCCGUACGAUGCAGCGACGCCGCGUGAACGAAGAAGUAUUUCGGUAUGUAAAGUUCUAUCAGCAGGGAAGAUAAUGACGGUACCUGACUAAGGAGCACCGGCUAAAUACGUGCCAGCAGCCGCGGUAAAACGUAGGUGGCAAGCGUUGUCCGGAAUUACUGAGUGUAAAGGGAGCGCAGGCGGAAGGACAAGUUGGAAGUGAAACCCACGGGCUCAACCCGUGAACUGCUUUCAAAACUGUUUUUCUUGAGUGGUGUAGAGGUAGGCGGAAUUCCCGGUGUAGCGGUGGAAUGCGUAGAUAUCGGGAGGAACACCAGUGGCGAAGGCGGCCUACUGGGCACUAACUGACGCUGAGGCUCGAAAGCAU
rnacentral:rRNA from 1 species